rnacentral:lncRNA from 1 species
GGCACCACUAUGCAGCUGCUCUACCUCACAACCAAGUUGCCACAAAUGGCACUUAGUUUGGAACCUUCUUGAACUCAAGAAUCUCAUGGAACAUAUAGAGCCAAUCCAAAAAAUCCACAAUCAAGCUCCUUAAGAACUCGGGCAAGUUGAUUUUGAGGCUUUGCUCCCUUUUCUUGGAUCCCCACCAAAUGUUAGCCUCCCCUCU